UUAAAAAUAUGAUUUUACUUAUUUUUGUCAAGUUUCUUACUGCAUCUGCUGAAUGAGUCAACUGUCAUGCAGGGAAAGAGAAACAGCUCUGGUUAUCUCUUUGCAGGAGUACUUGAACACAGAUCACUGGAAGGUUACAACACAAUUGGCACACUAAUGGUGCUUUGUAGGUCUAGGAGGUUGUUCCUUGCUUUGAAGAAAUCAGCAAGUGCAGGAGCCAGAGCAGGAAGCCACUCACACAGUGUACACUGCAAAGUGCCAGUGAAAUCUCAUUUCUGCUGCCCAUGAAGCCCAUCUACCACCCCAUCAACACAGGAGCAAGGCUGGCUUUCUGUCUCCUGCCCUCCACAGCUGGUAGAGUUGCCUCCCACUGUCAGUCUAGGCAGUGCUGUUUCUAGGCUCCCCAUCUGUACAUUUAAAAAAGCAGAAGUGUUGCUGAGAUCCUAACAGGCAAUUCCACACUACUACUGAUUAAUCCAUGUUCAAAACAGAAGUGGAGGAGCCAGUGUGAAUUUCAUUCCCUGUUCUGUAAGUAGAGCUUUUCUUCACAUAGUCUCUUACCCUACUACAUGAUAUGAUUUAGGUAUAUUGAGGGAGACAGGUAGCUCUGAUUAGAAGAUUCCCUUUACACUAAGUGGAUAAGGAGUUGGAUGUCAAAUGCAAAUCCCUCUAAUAUUAGAAUAAAGGAAGAUUUAGUUUUGAAUGUCAAUAUCCAACUUAGGAAGAUCACCUUUCCCCAAACAUUCCCUUCAAUUUCUUUAGAGAAGAACUUCUAGGAUUUGGCACUGGGUAAUAACCACUUUUAUUUGCUUUCCAUUUUAGGUAGAGAUUGAAGUCUGUAUGGGCCAGUUCAAUUGAUUUCUUUCUUCUCAGCUCAGUUCUGUCUCAGAGUACCUGCCACUGAGGUCUAGAGCCCCUUGGAACCUCACAUGUAGGCUGGACUUCCCUCCUCCACAGCCGCUUGGCAGCACAGCAAGCUGGACAGGGCUCUGCCUCACGAGGACAUCUGGUGAAACCGUUCUUUAUUUAGUGCUAAUUUCUCAUCUGCAUCACCAUCUUUGGGACUUUGGGCUUAUUGUUUAUUAUACUUCUAGGCUUUUGUUUCACUGAGACCUUAGUGCAAAUGUGGCAAAUGGCAUGCGUCUAUUCUGUCAUUUCACUCAACGGGUUUUAUAUGCUUUCUAAGGCAUGCGUGAGCCCUCAAUAGAAACUUCUGUCUCUUUGGAACUCUACAUUGCACAUGCAAAGUCUGAUCUCUGAUCCACCCAGAACUUUCCUCUAAACCAAGAUGCUCUGCACUGACUCAGUUUCUUUGUAACUCUGGGCCUCAGCUGCCUUCCCUUCUCCCUCCAUGUGUUUGAGAAAUUCGUCAAGGCUAAAUUAAUUCCUGUUUCCUUCAUCAAGGUGAAAGUGACAAAUAUUGGGUGUUGCUCUUCUCUAAACUGCAAAUGACUAAUUAUUAUGUGCUAUAGGCAUGGGUUGCUAUUUGAAAAUCUGGCACUGCAUAUACUUUUCCUUGUAUAAUAACUCAUGGUCUUAAUUAAUUAAUACCCUACUAAAUUCCAGAAUUUAUUUAAGAUAUGAUCUAUGUAUCUUCACAGCAAUAAUAUCUAAUCUACUAAAAGCAGCAUCCCUUAAGGCAUAGCAUAUUUCUGAUUAUGGAUAAGAUGGUAUUACACACUUGUACAUAUUAUUGAUUACAUAAAAAUUUAUACCACAAUCAUCUUUUUUUCAUACACAUGGACACACACACAUAUUUACACACAGACAUACCUUCUUUUUAAUUAUCUUGCUUAUCUUUUGUUUCAUUUUUUGAAUCUCUACAAGAGUAGCUGAAGAAGUCAAGGAAAUCUGAAGUGAUAAAAAAGAAAGUGGAAACAAAAUUUAAAAAGGUGUUAAUAAUGGAUACCAAGAUGCUUCAUCUUAUCUUCCUAAUAUAAUCAUAGAGUGUGUUCAUCUACUUGUGCAAUAACGAGCAUUAGAAUUCUUCCAUGUUCUGCGUGCUGCCUCUAAUGUUUUUAAAGAACUCUCUGAUGAAGAGUGUGAAGGAAAAGUCUUCAUUUUGAUGUCUGAAAAAAAGAAAAUGGAACAAUGCCUCCACUGCUACACAAGUAUCUAUCCUGCCAGGGGACAUAGAAUGUUGCUAGAAACAAAGCUGAGUCAACUGACCAAAGUGCUCCCAGCUGAAGUCAAGGGCAACUCUGCCUUUUCGUUGCUGCUCUCCUGCUGUAAACAGUUUUGGAGGCAUGCUGAAAAUAAGAUGGAAAAUUCCAGAGAUCUACCUCUGAUGCUGGCUUUACCUCAGAGAUUAAACAAAACCUCCUGGAUGGCAAUCCCAAGAUUACUGGUGUCGUUAUUAUUACUGUACACAACUUUUGGGCAGUUGAACUCAGUGUUUACCUUGUUCAGUGACUGGUGAGGCCAUUUUAUCUAAAAAAGAGGUGACAGCAAACAACAUAUCUGUACCUGUUGAGGGUGGACAGCAAAUGUAAGGUAUUGCCCAGUUUGCUGAUGCAGAAAUACAGACCUCACAGAAAAACUGCUUUAGUUGGGAGGUAUAACCACUACCAUGAAUGGAGUUGGCCCAGGCAGAUAUGAAGUGAGGAGCUUUCUCUGCCAUGCCAUUACACCAUGGUGGCUCUCUUUGGAAGCAGGUGACACAUGGACAAAACCUCAGGAACAGUGAGCAAAAUAAGGCUUUUCUCCUUUAAGGUGUGCCUGUCAGAGGUUCUGUCCCAGCAGUGGAAAAGUGCCUAAAACAAUGUCUGUAAUCAAGAGGUCCUCAGAAUGCUUGAAGACCUUAUCUUAGCCUAAGAAUUAGUUAUCUGGGAUUCAAGCUCAGGUCUUUCUGGAAUAAAAGUGUCUGUUAUUUUAGGUAAAAAUGGUCUUAUGUUCUAAUGUUAUAUGCAAAAAUAUUCCGCAUCUGUUUUCAAAAUUAGUAUUUCUGAGUAUUCACGUGAAAAAGUUCCAGUAUAGCAAAACCUCUGCGGAAAUUCCUUAACCUUUCUGAAUUUUCGUUUAUUAGAAAUAAAAAUCUUGUCUAUGGUCACACCAUCCUGAA